rnacentral:rRNA from 1 species
UACGUAGGUGGCAAGCGUUGUCCGGAAUUACUGGGUGUAAAGCGCGUGUAGGCGGGAGGCCAAGUCUGCUGUGAAAUCGCCCGGCUCAACUGGGCGGGGUCGGUGGAAACUGGUCACCUGGAGGACGGUAGAGGCGAGUGGAAUUCCCGGUGUAGUGGUGAAAUGCGUAGAGAUCGGGAGGAACACCAGUGGCGAAGGCGGCUCGCUGGGCCGGACCUGACGCUGAGACGCGAAGGCGUGGGAGCGAACGGG